rnacentral:rRNA from 1 species
GACGAACGCUGGCGGCGUGCUUAACACAUGCAAGUCGAACGGAAAGGCCCUGCUUUUGUGGGGUGCUCGAGUGGCGAACGGGUGAGUAACACGUGAGUAACCUGCCCUUGACUUUGGGAUAACUUCAGGAAACUGGGGCUAAUACCGGAUAGGAGCUCCUGCUGCAUGGUGGGGGUUGGAAAGUUUCGGCGGUUGGGGAUGGACUCGCGGCUUAUCAGCUGGUUGGUGGGGUAGUGGCUUACCAAGGCUUUGACGGGUAGCCGGCCUGGGAGGGUGACCGGCCACAUUGGGACUGCGAUACGGCCCAGAAUCCUACGGGAGGCAGCAGUGGGGAAUAUUGCACAAUGGGCGGAAGCCUGAUGCAGCAACGCCGCGUGCGGGAUGACGGCCUUCGGGUUGUAAACCGCUUUCGCCUGUGACGAAGCGUGAGUGACGGUAAUGGGUAAAGAAGCACCGGCUAACUACGUG